GACAGUUAAAUGAGAACGAGCGACUAAAAGAUCAUGAAUCACCUCUACCAAGAUACACUAGAGAAGAACGACCACAUCACGAGGAAUAUGGUUGGGGUCC